rnacentral:rRNA from 1 species
ACGGCGAGUGAAGCGGCAACAGCUCAAAUUUGAAAUCUCGCCCCCGGGUCCGAGUUGUAAUUUGCAGAGGAUGCUUCGGGCGAGGUGCCUUCCGAGUUCCCUGGAACGGGACGCCACAGAGGGUGAGAGCCCCGUCUGGUCGGACACCGAGCCCGUGUGAAGCUCCUUCGAAGAGUCGAGUAGUUUGGGAAUGCUGCUCAAAAUGGGAGGUAUAUGUCUUCUAAAGCUAAAUAUUGGCCAGAGACCGAUAGCGCACAAGUAGAGUGAUCGAAAGAUGAAAAGCACUUUGAAAAGAGGGUUAAAAAGUACGUGAAAUUGUUGAAAGGGAAGCGCCCAUGACCAGACUUGGGCCCGGUGAAUCACCCGGCGUUCUCGCCGGUGCACUUUGCCGGGCACAGGCCAGCAUCAGUUUGGCGCGGGGGAGAAAGGCUUCGGGAACGUGGCUCCCUCGGGAGUGUUAUAGCCCGCUGCGCAAUACCCUGCGCCGGACUGAGGUACGCGCAUCGCAAGGAUGCUGGCGUAAUGGUCAUCAGCGACCCGUCUUGAAACACGGACCAAGGAGUCGUCUUCGUAUGCGAGUGUUCGGGUGUCAAACCCCUACGCGGAAUGAAAGUGAACGCAGGUGAGAGCUUCGGCGCAUCAUCGACCGAUCCUGAUGUUCUCGGAUGGAUUUGAGUAAGAGCAUACGGGGCCGGACCCGAAAGAAGGUGAACUAUGCCUGUAUAGGGUGAAGCCAGAGGAAACUCUGGUGGAAGCUCGCAGCGGUUCUGACGUGCGAAUCGAUCGUCAAAUAUGGGCAUGGGGGCGAAAGACUAAUCGAA